AGAAUGAGCGAAAGAAAGAAAGAAAGCUCUAUUUUGAUUUCGUUUUCUUCUACAUCUGAAAGAAUAACAAAAACGCUCUCUUUAACACCUCAGCUUCAUAAAAUAUACCAUAAUAUUACUUUUUUUUCUUUUUCGUUUCUUUAAUUUCUUUCAUAUUGACGAUUCACACUUCCUUUUCUGUUCACACCACCUUCGUAUAAAUCUUUCCUCUUCUUUCUCUCUCUAUCUUUUUCCUUUCCCUUCUUCUGAUCUGUUGAUCGAUCCCUUCUUUUUCUUAUCUCUCUUUGCCUUACCUCAAUUAUUUCUCUUGUUGGUUGUAUUUAAAUGGAAGGACAUCAUCAUCAUCAUCAACAACACCAUCAACUUCAACAUCAGCAUCACAUCAGUGUUAACGUUGACACUGAUAGGUUUCCUCAAUGGAGUGUUCAAGAAACAAAGGAGUUCUUGAUGAUCCGUGCAGAACUCGAUCGAACUUUCAUGGAGACUAAAAGAAAUAAGCUCCUUUGGGAAGUAAUUUCUAAUAAAAUGAAAGAAAAGGGUUAUAAUCGCAGCGCAGAGCAGUGCAAGUGCAAAUGGAAAAACCUCGUUACUCGAUACAAGGGAUGUGAAACGAUGGAACCUGAAUCUUUACGACAACAAUUUCCAUUUUAUAACGAGCUGCAAGCGAUUUUCACUGCAAGAAUGCAAAGAAUGCUUUGGGUGGAAUCAGAAGUAGGAGGAGCAGGUGGGUCUAAAAAGAAAGCGGUGCAGUUAUCGUCAGACGAAGAGGAUGAUAACGAAGAAAGUGAGGGAGAGAAGGGAAGCAUUAGAAAGAAGAAGAAGGGAAAAAGCAUGGCAAAUAUUGGCAGUGGUAGUAGUAGUAGUGGAAAUAGUAAAAAUUUGAAGGAGAUUUUAGAGGAUUUCAUGAAACAGCAAAUGCAAAUGGAAAUGCAAUGGAGAGAAGCAUUUGAAGCGAGAGAAAACGAGAGGAGGAUGAAAGAGAUGGAGUGGAGACAAACUAUGGAAGCAUUAGAGAACGAGAGGAUAAUGAUGGAUAGGAGAUGGAGAGAAAGAGAAGAGCAAAGAAGGAUAAGAGAAGAAGCUAGGGCAGAGAAGAGAGAUGCACUAAUCACAGCACUUCUAAAUAAGCUUAGAAGAGAAGAAAUUUAAACAUGUGUACGUUUUUUUAAUUGUUUUGGAAGAAGAAAGAGGGGAAAGCUAGCUUUUGAUAGAGGAGGUAGGAGGAUAUUCAAACCAUUAAUUAAGAAGUUGCAUGGAAGAUUAAUUUGAUAUAAUGGUGUAAAAAGUGUAGCCGUUGUUGAGCUAAUGAGCUGCAUUAAUUUCUUAAUUAGGUCAAUAUAAUUUAAGAUUUCCAACAACGUUGAAUAGUAUAUAUGUCGGUGACACAGCUUCAGAGGUGUGUAUAGCUGCCAGAGGUUCCGUAAGAGGAAGAUAAAUGUUUGUUGAUAGAACUGUUGCUUCAAACAUAUGAUUUGUUUACUAUAAGUUUGUUUUUUUUUUUUUUUU